CUAACUGUGGCUUGACAUACACAUGCACAUGUACACACACAAACACAUAAGCAUCUGCGAAGAGACAACAAAGACACAUACGUUCCAGGACCUGCAAAGUGUUUGCUGCACAGCUCUGAGGUCAGGGCAGAAGUCCCCCGGGUGGGAGACCGUUGACCUCUGAUCUGGCCUUGGGGGGGAGGCUGGAGGGGACACAGAGCCCUGUGCUCAGCAUCAGGACAGGGGAGACUUGGCCAGCCAGGCUCGCAGAGUGGGGACAGACAGCGAGGGACCCCAGAGCAGUGGGAUUAAGUGUUGAGGUGAGGGGAUUAGUUGUUGUGUCGAUGGAAGGAACACAAUUCAAUCUUGUUCCUUCUGCAGGGAACCUGAUCUCCAUGUUCUCAGGGAGCCUCCGUCUGCCCUGCUGGUCCUAGCUGCAGCUCUAAUUAGCUGUGGCUUCGUCUUGCCUGGUGGCUGGGGUCAUGUCUUAGCAUUCUUUGUAGCUCUGGGCACCUAGCAACAGGCAGCGUCGAUGUAGGGGCAGAAUAAUCAUUGUCUGUCUCGACUUCAGUAUCUAAAAUGGAGAUUGAGCUUAAUUUUGUCAACAAGAUUUCUGUUGUGUUCUAUAGGGACUCACAAAUGACAUAGAAGUAGCGGUUGCACUAUCUGGAUCUCAGGAUGCUCCCUGGACUCAGUGUGGGCUCAGCUCCUCACAGUGUAUGCCAUGAGGUCAUGGCCACUGUCUUGUCUGAUCGUGGCAGCCCCUCCCCCUGCAUGCAGUGAGACAGCACUGACCUGUAUCACAGAGAAGGAAACUGAAACCCAGAGAAGCAAAGCAAAAAGACAGUGGUAAGAAGUAGAGAGGAUGUGGGCGAGGCCAUUGUCUUGGUUCUUUGUCCUCUUUUAGGCAGUAUACACUGAAUUCCAGCUCUUUCUUUCACACUUGCACCAGAAGUCAAGGUCAAGUGAGCCAUGGCUUAGCUGCCUGAGCUGGGACCCAUACUGUGCCCUGUGGGACUAGUGUGUCUUCUGCAUGGUAGAGCAGUCAGGCUCCACCUCAGCUACGUGAGAUUCCAUACUAGGAAGUCUCACAGGUUUAUAGAGCGGUAUGAGAAGUAAGGAAUGCUAGAAAGCCCUGACCUCCUUUAAGAGGUGGUUUGUCCAGAGGCUGGAGAUUGUAUGAGAUAGCUCUCAGCUGGACCAGUAGAUACACACACACACACACACACACACACACACACACACACACACACACACACACACACACACACAGGCAUGCUCGUGCACACACACUUAAAAGAGCAGGCCAGGAGUGCCCAGAUGUCUUGAGUGUAGCCCUGAUGGGUAGCAGGCUGCUGAGUUGAGGAACACAGUGCUGAGUCAGUCAGAGACAUUGGAAAGUGGCUCAGAUGUAACUAAGGUGUUGGAGAGAUAAGUAGACCUGGAAGACACCUAAAUCCCAAGCAGAGGCUGAAGAAAGCAUCCUGUCCUGGAGCCAUUGCCACUCAAUAGUGGGGACCCAAAGAAAGUGACUUCCUAGAGACCAUUCGGAGAUGUCAGAGGACCCAAGUCAAGACCAGGAGUUAGAGAUGUCCAAGAAGCUGAUCGAGGUGGCAACAAACAACUUGGAGAGGCUGUUGCCAUAGCAACCAAGAUCCGGCGUCUGGUACCUUCACACUGCUGACCUCUGUCUGUUUUGUGAGCCAAGGCUGUUUUUUAAUGAGCAAAGUUUUGAAUAGCGUCUUAAUACCUGAUACGACAGGUUCCAGACUGGAGGUGCCACUGAGCCCUGUGGCCAACAGGACUCGCCUCAAGUGGCUGUCUGCAUCUCCGUUCACUCCGGUGCUCCACUCGGCUGGCCGCACAUAGCCUUCCUGCCUCCUGUCUUAGCUGUUUCCUGCCGACUGGUGCCUUUAGUGGCUUCCUUGUGCUGGUCCCCAUUUGCUCACAGACAAGGAUUUCUGUAGGACAAGUACUUGGAACUGUUGGGACACAGGGAAGAAACGUCCUGAAUUCAGAUAAAAACGACCACAGUAUUCUGCAAAGUGCCCAGUUCAAUCUCCUGCCAGGAUGUCUCCAAGUUUAAUGUUUUCGCCAACUGGAUGGAUGAAAAUACUGUCUUGGGUUAGUGUACACUGUCUGUAUCCCACCCCAGCCGACACUUUCAUUUAUCCCCGUUCCUAGUUUCCUCUCUGGACUCUGUCCAGGUCCUCCCUGCCUCUCCCCCUCUGCCUGCCUGCCCACCUGCCUCCCUCCCUCCUGUCCAUCUCUUUUCUUCCAUUUUCUGAGACAGGGAGUUAGUAUGUAGCCCUCCUGUCUCCUCGGGCUUCCGGAUCCGGGGACAAUGGCCAUGAUGCCACAUCCUACCCAUUUCUUUCCCUUUUUUUUUCUUUUAAAAAUAUUUUAUCUUUUAUUGAUUUUUAGUUCCUUAUGUAUUUUAUGAAUUUGACAUACUAAUGCUUUGUUGGUGGUGGCAAAUAUUUUUCUGCAUUGUGGGGUUUGACAAUUGAAUUGCUUUUGGAAAAUUUUAAGGUUUUGAUAACAGUUGUCUGUUGGUUUUACUUCUUACACCUUCUUUUGACAAUCUUAAGCCUCCUUAUAUUAAUUUCUUGUAUUUUCUUCUCUGGCAUCUAUAACUUACAUAUAUAUAUAUAUUUAUGUUAUAUGCAGUUUGUAAAUAAAUAAUUAUAUCAUG
ensembl:lncRNA